rnacentral:rRNA from 1 species
UACGGGGGGGGGUAAGCGUUGUUCGGAAUUACUGGGCGUAAAGGGCUCGUAGGCGGCCAACUAAGUCAGACGUGGAAUCCCUCAGCUUAACUGGGGAACUGCGUCUGAUACUGGAUGGCUUGGAUUCGGGAGAGGAAUGCGGAAUUCCAGGUGUAGCGGUGAAAUGCGUAGAUAUCUGGAGGAACACCGGUGGCGAAGGCGGCAUUCUGGACCGACAUUGACGCUGAGGAGCGAAAGCCAGGGGAGCAAACGGG